rnacentral:tRNA from 3 species
AAGCAAGUAGUAUAUUUUUAGUACACCGGGCUCAUGCCCCGAUGGAGGGAAAUUUUUUCCCCUGGCUUA